AUGGAUCUUAGUUUUAGAAAUUUCCAUUAAAAUUUCAGUUCAGAUAAAAACGUUAGUGAUGCUCCACUGAACCCAGAUCUGCUCUGAUAGAUAAGAGAAGUGAAACACACACACACACACACACACACACACACACUCACACACACACACACACACACACACACACACACACACACUCAGUGUUCUCCUCCAGCUGUUCCUCUGUACUGACUGAAUGAGAGCUGGAGCUGUGUGUAGGGUGGGGGUGUAUCUGAUUCUGUACACUCUUCACUAUAUAGUGCACUCCAGUACUCCAUAUCCACUACUCUUACAGCGCACUCAAACAGCCCGGGUUCAAACCCUGCACCCCAGCUCACACCACUACCCAUAAUGCACUGUGCUCCUGAUUUCUCUACAGAGUCCAGAACCAUCAGAACCCAAUUCAGUACCGGAGAACCAGAACCACAGUGUCGGUUCUCUACAGUGCUGUUCUAGAUCCUUUAUUAGCAGAUCAUUAUGAACACUGUGUAUCUGUGUGUGUGUAUCUGUGUGUGUGUGUCUCCUACAGGUGAAACUCCUCCCACUCUUACAGUCCUGCCCCCGUCCAGUGCAGAGCUGGAGCAGGGGGAGGUCACACUGCUGUGUGUGGGCAGCGGGGGCUUCCCCUCAGACUGGAAGCUGAGCUGGAAGGUGGGCGGCAGCAGCUGGAGCUCGGGGGUCCGUCACAGCCCCGCUCUUCUGAAGAAGGACCACGGCCUCUACAGCUGGAGCAGCACCCUGACCCUCCAGCAGCAGCAGUGGAUGAAGAACACAGUGACCUGUGAGGCCACCAAGAACUCCCAGUCUGUAGCCAGUAAACCAGUGAGCGCAGACCAGUGCUCUAACCUCUAAACACACACACACACACACACUUAUAAACACACACACACACACACACACAGAGAUACACACACUCCUCUACUUCAUUAAAGUCACUGUCUGUAGCUGAACUGUGUGUUAGAUGUGUUUGAACCUGGUUUACUUUGUAUUACUUUUGUCUUUUGCUUCAUUUUCUGUUUGAAUACAUAAUAAAAGUCUUUUUUGAACUCCUA